GCGACACUUCUCCCGAGACUGGUGGUGAAGACUUGCGAGAUCACGGCAGCCGCGUGUCUUUUCGGUUUCCGGCCCUUUACUGGUUAGGACCGUGUGGCAAUGCUUGGUUCGUCGCGGCCUAACCCGGUGAAGAGGCCUAGGCUUUGGACCAUGGCUUUUCAUUCGCUCUGGGAAAAGUGGAGGCCGCGUUGAUGCCAGAAGGGAUUGGACUUUGAAACAGAAAUGGAAGAGUAGAAAACGGUGCUGGCUGUUUCUGGACCCUAAAACCAGAAGAAAGGCUUUGGUUUCUUGUGAAUGUUAAGAUUCCCAUCUUCCAACUUCGACCUUCAAAGAGGUAUAGUCAGCCUCACCUGCUGAGGAACAGAAGCUUAUGGUUUGAGGAUCCUUUUUACUCCUGUAGUUUGAAGACUUAAGAACAUCACUGAUAGAAGCUAUGCUAGAGUAGAAAACUUGUUCUCUACUCUAAAACAGGUAUCUACUAUUGAAGCAUCGUGUGGCCAACAGGCUUACUAUAUGUGUAUAUACUUUGCCCUGUGUGUGUAUACUUUAACAAAUAAAAUUACUUGAAAACAUG